GCAAAUCCAAAUGCAUGUAAAAUCAAAAGGCGUAUUUGGCACAAACAUAACCAAUCCAGAGAACAAAACAUAGCAGAAAACUAGGGUGUCUCCCACAACAAAAUCACCGUAUGGUCAACUCCCAUCGGAGCACAAAAUAGAGACGUCGUUGACUGAUCACACCGCCACAGAAGGUGUCAUGCCUUGGUGCCAAGAGGACAUAUAUGUGAUACCCCCACAAGUGGUAUAAGCUCAAGUAUACGAUAUAUUCUAACAAAG
rnacentral:lncRNA from 1 species